GGUCCCGUGGCGGAAUUGGUAGACGCAGCAGACUUAAAAUCUGCUGUCUUUUCAUAGACGUGCCGGUUCGAUUCCGGCCGGGACCACCA
rnacentral:tRNA from 1 species